GGCAAGAUGGCCGAGCGGUCUAAGGCGCUGUGUUAAGGAAUCUCUUCGAUCCUCGACGAUUCGCAGUUCUUCGGAGCAUGGGUUCGAAUCCCAUUCUUGUCA